UACGUAGGGUGCGAGCGUUAAUCGGAAUUACUGGGCGUAAAGCGUGCGCAGGCGGUUCUGAAAGUCAGCUGUGAAAGCCCCCGGGCUUAACCUGGGAAUUGCGGUUGAAACUACAGGGCUAGAAUCUGGCAGAGGGGGGUGGAAUUCCACGUGUAGCAGUGAAAUGCGUAGAGAUCUGGAGGAACACCGGUGGCGAAGGCGGCAUCCUGGACCAACACUGACACUGAUGAGCGAAAGCCAGGGGAGCAAACGGG
rnacentral:rRNA from 1 species